AGCGAACGUUAGCGGCGGGCCUAACACAUGCAAGUCGAGCGAGAAAGUGGCUUCGGCCAUCAGUAAAGCGGCGGACGGGUGAGUAACACGUGGGUAAUCUUCCUUCGAGCGGGGGACAACGGUCCGAAAGGACCGCUAAUACCGCAUACGUUUCUCGGGACCUCGGUCCUGGGAAGGAAAGCUAGGUAGCAAUAUCCGGCACUCGAUGAGGAGCCUGCGUCGCAUCAGCUAGUUGGUGGGGGAAUGGCCCACCAAGGCGAAGACGCGUAGCUGGUCUGAGAGGAUGAUCAGCCACACUGGGACUGAGACACGGCCCAGACUCCUACGGGAGGCAGCAGUGGGGAAUAUUGGACAAUGGGCGCAAGCCUGAUCCAGCCACGCCGCGUGAGUGAUGAAGGCCU
rnacentral:rRNA from 1 species